AGAGAAUUAAAAAAGAGAAUUAAUAAAAGGAGGAAGUCAAGUGGGCAUGGAGGAUGCUGAAACAGCAUCGUUACCUUAUGUGCAGAGGAUGCUUCACGUUGCUGACCUGUGUGGUCCUCACCUAGCUGUGGUGAGCUGACCCCGGCAAGCAGUAAGAAGUUUUUAUGUGGUAGAAGAGGUGUGGACUUGCGUCACAAACGGAUGGGAAGAUCCAAAAAGUUUAAAACUGAAGAAGCAGCAGUGCGUCAAAAACCUCAUCUACUCACAACACUUACGGGCAAGAACCAGACCAAUUCAGACAUAGGAGAGAAGGAGGAGAGCUCUUUUUCCAUUACUGCUUCAAGGAAGAGAAUUAGUAUUUGAUAAGAAAAAUCAAUUAGCUGACAAGUAAGAUGGAGAUUCUGAACACAACCUAUGGAAACCAUCCUUGAAGAAAACCUUUAAUGUAGAGGAUCUCUGAUGGCUGUGUAAGUUCUGGAGCAUGGUUGUGUGUAGCUGGUUGA